rnacentral:rRNA from 1 species
GCUCAGGAUGAACGCUGGCGGUAUGCUUAACACAUGCAAGUCGAACGGGAACUUUUUAAGUUCUAGUGGCGGACGGGUGAGUAACGCGUGAGAAUUUACCUCUAGGAGGGGAACAACAGUUAGAAAUGACUGCUAAUGCCCCAUAUGCUUUAUAGUGAAACGGAUUCGUCCGCCUGGAGCAAAGCUCGCGUCUGAUUAGCUUGUUGGUAAGGUAAUGGCUUACCAAGGCGACGAUCAGUAGCUGGUUUGAGAGGAUGAUCAGCCACACUGGAACUGAGACACGGUCCAGACUCCUACGGGAGGCAGCAGUGGGGAAUUUUCUGCAAUGGGCGAAAGCCUGACAGAGCAAUACCGCGUGAGGGAUGAAGGCCUGUGGGUCGUAAACCUCUUUUUUCAAGGAGGAAGUUCUGACGUGUACUUGAAGAAUAAGCAUCGGCUAACUCCGUGCCAGCAGCCGCGGUAAGACGGAGGAUGCAAGUGUUAUCCGGAAUUACUGGGCGUAAAGCGUCUGUAGGUGGUUUAGUAAGUCGAUUGUUAAAGCUUGAGGCUUAACUUCAAAACAGCAAUGGAAACUGCUAGACUUGAGUAUGGUAGAGGUAAAAGGAAUUUCCAGUGGAGCGGUGAAAUGCGUAGAUAUUGGAAAGAACACCGAUGGCGAAGGCAUUUUACUGGGCCAUAAUUCUGACACUCAGAGACGAAAGCUAGGGUAGCAAAUGGGAUUAGAUACCCCAGUAGUCCUAGCUGUAAACGAUGGAUACUAGAUGUUGCACGUAUCGACCCGUGCAGUGUCAUAGCUAACGCGUUAAGUAUCCCGCCUGGGAAGUAUGCGCGCAAGCGUGAAACUCAAAGGAAUUGACGGGGGCCCGCACAAGCGGUGGAGCAU